rnacentral:lncRNA from 10 species
UCCAGGGGUGCGUGACAGGUUGGGAGCUGUGGUGGGUCCAGGCAGAAAUGGCUUCCCUGGGAAGUUGCGGAAGAGGCGUCUCUGGAGACGUGCUUCGUGAGGAGAGAAGCUGAAGUGUUGCAAACAACACUGGUUGGGGUGUUUCCUGUCAGUUAUGGAGUGAUGAGGUCACGCACUUCAUUCUGGCCAGUCAUUAAUAUGAUUUGGCAUUCUCUGCAUGCCAGGCAAGAGUGACUGCUCUUCAGGCCAGAUCUUCCUUCGAGAUGGAUGUUAUCUCCUUUUUAGGAAGGAGGAAACAGAGAGACCUCGUAACUUGGCAUGGCCACACAGUGGGAAUAAACUGAGUGACCAAGAGGCUGAAUAUCUUCUCCAAAGCCAAAGAACCAGGCAGUGGCAGAGAUCCAAACCCAAGCGAUUUGGGUGCCAGGGCUCAAGCACUUCCCCAUGCAGCCACUGCCUCGAGAAAUAAAAAGACUCACCAGACACUUC